UCUGGGUAUGGUGGUGCAUACCUGUAAUCCUAGCAACUUGGGAGGCUGAGGCAGGAGGAUUGCAAUUUUGAGGCCAGCUUCAGCAAUUUAACAAGGCUCUC
rnacentral:sRNA from 1 species